rnacentral:rRNA from 1 species
CCGAGUCUUAACCGGGCGUUAAGUUGCAGGGUAUAGACCCGAAACCCGGUGAUCUAGCCAUGGGCAGGUUGAAGGUUGGGUAACACUAACUGGAGGACCGAACCGACUAAUGUUGAAAAAUUAGCGGAUGACCUGUGGCUGGGGGUGAAAGGCCAAUCAAACCGGGAGAUAGCUGGUUCUCCCCGAAAGCUAUUUAGGUAGCGCCUCGUGAAUUCAUCUCCGGGGGUAGAGCACUGUUUCGGCUAGGGGGCCAUCCCGGCUUACCAACCCGAUGCAAACUGCGAAUACCGGAGAAUGUUAUCACGGGAGACACACGGCGGGUGCUAACGUCCGUCGUGAAGAGGGAAACAACCCAGACCGCCAGCUAAGGUCCCAAAGUCAUGGUUAAGUGGGAAACGAUGUGGGAAGGCCCAGACAGCCAGGAUGUUGGCUUAGAAGCAGCCAUCAUUUAAAGAAAGCGUAAUAGCUCACUGGUCGAGUCGGCCUGCGCGGAAGAUGUAACGGGGCUAAACUAUGCACCGAAGCUGCGGCAGCGACACUAUGUGUUGUUGGGUAGGGGAGCGUUCUGUAAGCCUGUGAAGGUGUGUCGUGAGGCAUGCUGGAGGUAUCAGAAGUGCGAAUGCUGACAUAAGUAACGAUAAAGCGGGUGAAAAGCCCGCUCGCCGGAAGACCAAGGGUUCCUGUCCAACGUUAAUCGGGGCAGGGUGAGUCGACCCCUAAGGCGAGGCCGAAAGGCGUAGUCGAUGGGAAACGGGUUAAUAUUCCCGUACUUGGUGUUACUGCGAAGGGGGGACGGAGAAGGCUAUGUUGGCCGGGCGACGGUUGUCCCGGUUUAAGCGUGUAGGUGUGUGUUCCAGGUAAAUCCGGUUCACUUUAACACUGAGGCGUGACGACGAGGCACUACGGUGCUGAAGCAACAAAUGCCCUGCUUCCAGGAAAAGCCUCUAAGCAUCAGGUAACAUCAAAUCGUACCCCAAACCGACACAGGUGGUCAGGUAGAGAAUACCAAGGCGCUUGAGAGAACUCGGGUGAAGGAACUAGGCAAAAUGGUGCCGUAACUUCGGGAGAAGGCACGCUGACACGUAGGUGAAGUGAUUUACUCAUGGAGCUGAAGUCAGUCGAAGAUACCAGCUGGCUGCAACUGUUUAUUAAAAACACAGCACUGUGCAAACACGAAAGUGGACGUAUACGGUGUGACGCCUGCCCGGUGCCGGAAGGUUAAUUGAUGGGGUCAGCGCAAGCGAAGCUCCUGAUCGAAGCCCCGGUAAACGGCGGCCGUAACUAUAACGGUCCUAAGGUAGCGAAAUUCCUUGUCGGGUAAGUUCCGACCUGCACGAAUGGCGUAAUGAUGGCCAGGCUGUCUCCACCCGAGACUCAGUGAAAUUGAACUCGCUGUGAAGAUGCAGUGUACCCGCGGCAAGACGGAAAGACCCCGUGAACCUUUACUAUAGCUUGACACUGAACAUUGAGCCUUGAUGUGUAG